GGAUGUGAGGGUGAUCUGGCUGUGACAUUUGUUACCCCAUUGAUCACCAGGGUUGAUUCAGCUGAUCUGGCUGGCUAGGCAGAUGUCCCCUUCCUCCCUCACCGCUCCAUGUGCGUCCCUCCUGAAGCUGCGCACUCGGACAAAUAGGAUGACCUUCCCCGAAAAGAGGAGGACCGUCUUCGGUCAAAGGUAUACGAGUAGCUGUGCUCCCCUGCUAGAACCUCCAGACAAGCUCUGUUUCCAAUUUCUAGGUAUUACGGAUAGAGCAGCAUCGAGUAAAGAUGAGCAAGUGUCUCUGUAGUAGGAUGUAGAGUCCUUU
rfam:Mus musculus chromosome 12, GRC primary reference assembly.